GCCUCGAUAGCUCAGUGGCAGAGCGGUGGGGCGUUUACCCAUGCGGCCCGGGUUCGAUUCCCGGUCGAUGUA